CCUACGGGUGGCAGCAGUGGGGAAUAUUGGACAAUGGGGGCAACCCUGAUCCAGCGACGCCGCGUGAGUGAAGAAGUCUUUCGGUAUGUAAAGCUCUAUCAGCAGGGAAGAAAAUGACGGUACCUGUCUAAUAAGCCACGGCUAACUACGUGACAGCAGCCGCGGUAAUACGUAGGGGGCACGCGUUAUCCGGAUGGACUGGGGGUAAAGGGAACGUAGACGGUGCAGCAAGUCUGAUGUGAAAGGUCGGGGCCCAACCCCGGGACUGCAUUGGAAACUGGUGAACUGGAGUACAGUAGAGGUAAGCGGAAUUCGUGGUGUAGCGGUGAAAUGCGUAGAUAUUAGGAGGAACACCAGUGGCGAAGGCGGCUUACUGGACUGUAACUGACGUUGAGGCUCGAAAGCGUGGGGAGCAAACAGGAUUAGAUACCCGAGUAGUC
rnacentral:rRNA from 1 species